CAAAAAGUAGCUUACAAUAAAGCAUUCGACUUACACUCGAACGACAUUAUACUUAAUCUUUUUGA
rnacentral:tRNA from 1 species